rnacentral:rRNA from 1 species
AAUCGGAAUUUACUGGGCGUAAAGCGCAUGCUAGGUGGUUUGUUAAGUCAGAUGUGAAAGCCCGGGGCUCAACCUCGGAAUUGCAUUUUGAAACUGGCAAAACUAGAGUACUGUAGAGGGGGGUAGAAUUUCAGGUGUAGCGGUGAAAAUGCGUAGAGAUCUGAAGGAAUACCGGUGGCGAAGGCGGCCCCCCUGGACAGAUACUGACACUCAGAUGCGAAAAGCGUGGGGAGCAAAACAGGAUUAGAUACCCUGGCAG